UUGUUCGGAUUUACUGGGCGUACAGGGAGCGUAGGCGGUUGGAUAAGCCCUCCGUGAAAUCUCCAGGCUUAACCUGGAAAGUGCAGAGGGGACUGUUCAGCUAGAGGAUGGGAGAGGAGCGCGGAAUUCCCGGUGUAGCGGUGAAAUGCGUAGAGAUCGGGAGGAAGGCCGGUGGCGAAGGCGGCGCUCUGGAACAUUUCUGACGCUGAGGCUCGAAAGCGUGGGGAGCAAACAGG
rnacentral:rRNA from 1 species